UCUAUCAAGUGGUUAGGUUAGUCGGCCAAAGUCAGACCUAAUUAUUUGGUAGUUAGAUUUAUAAGUAUGAUCAUGUUAAUGGUUAGACCUUAAUCAGGACUUGCAGAGAAGAUCAAAGUCAACUAAAAAGUUAUCUGGGGUAAAAUCAAUUAUUAAAAAUUAUUUAUUAAAAUAAUUGAUUAAGAACCUACCCAUAGAUGUGCAUAGGUUAGUCAGCCAA
rnacentral:lncRNA from 1 species